CAAUAGCGUAUAUUUAAGUUGCUGCAGUUAAAAAGCUCGUAGUUGGAUUUCGGGUGGGAAUGGCCGGUCCGCCGUUUCGGUGUGCACUUGCUACGCCCACCUUGCUGCCGGGGACGUGCUCUUGAGUUCACGCUCGGGACACGGAGUCGGCGAGGUUACUUUGAGUAAAUUAGAGUGUUCAAAGCAGGCCUACGCUCUGAAUACAUUAGCAUGGAAUAACACGAUAGGACUCUGGCCUAUCUUGUUGGUCUGUAGGACCGGAGUAAUGAUUAAGAGGGACAGUUGGGGGCAUUUGUAUUUCGGCGCUAGAGGUGAAAUUCUUAGAUUGCCGAAAGACAAACUGCUGCGAAAGCGUCUGCCAAGGAUGUUUUCAUUGA
rnacentral:rRNA from 1 species